AUGGCCUCGAGUGAGCUGCCGCCGUCCAAGAAAAAAUCCGCACGACCCGCUCCCACCACCAUAAGCUCCCUCAGCGAUGACCUCCUGUGCGAGGUGUUCCUCCGCCUAGCCUCCCUCCGGAGCCUCGUCCGCGCCGCCCUCACCUGCCGCGCCUUCCUCAGCGCCGUAUGUUCGUCCCCCGCGUUCCGCCGCCGCUUCCGUGAUCUUCACUCGGCCCCGCUCCUGGGCGUGUUCCUCGACACGCCCGGCUUCAGGCCCAUUUGUCGCCAAUAUGAUCUGGACCAUGCCGCGGCCGUCCAAGGCGCCGAUGUCUUCCUCGCCCGUGUCCCCGACCUUGAAGACAAAGACGAAGUCGAAGGCGACGGCCCGUUGUGGCCGAUGACCGAGUGUCGUGAUGGGUACGUUCUACGUUGUUCUCGUCAACCGGCGAACCAAGCGGGCGGCCGUGUACCACCCCAUACACGGGCCCUGAACCUCAUCCCGGAUUCCCGGCGCCGCCCAAAGAGGUCUGCGACCCGGAAGAUGCCGAAGUCGAGUUCCACGUGGUCACCUGCGAAGAGGACCGACGGUCGUUCCGUGUCGUCCUCGUCAGCGGCAGCGACGGAAGUAGGGCAGAGCGGGUCGCCGUCUUCUCGCCGGACAGCAGGGAGUGGCAGAUCGCCGCAGAAGCGGGGAGCCCGCAGCUGCAGGUUGAAGACAAUGGCACGCUAG
rnacentral:rRNA from 1 species